rnacentral:rRNA from 1 species
UUAGAGUUUGAUCCUGGCUCAGGACGAACGCUGGCGGCGCGCCUAACACAUGCAAGUCGAACGAGCGAGAGAGAGCUUGCUUUCUCGAGCGAGUGGCGAACGGGUGAGUAACGCGUGAGGAACCUGCCUCAAAGAGGGGGACAACAGUUGGAAACGACUGCUAAUACCGCAUAAGCCCACGGUGCCGCAUGGUACAGAGGGAAAAGGAGCAAUCCGCUUUGAGAUGGCCUCGCGUCCGAUUAGCUAGUUGGUGAGGUAACGGCCCACCAAGGCGACGAUCGGUAGCCGGACUGAGAGGUUGAACGGCCACAUUGGGACUGAGACACGGCCCAGACUCCUACGGGAGGCAGCAGUGGGGAAUAUUGCACAAUGGGGGAAACCCUGAUGCAGCGACGCCGCGUGGAGGAAGAAGGUCUUCGGAUUGUAAACUCCUGUUGUUGGGGAAGAUAAUGACGGUACCCAACAAGGAAGUGACGGCUAACUACGUGCCAGCAGCCGCGGUAAAACGUAGGUCACAAGCGUUGUCAGGAAUUACUGGGUGUAAAGGGAGCGCAGGCGGGAAGACAAGUUGGAAGUGAAAUCUAUGGGCUCAACCCAUAAACUGCUUUCAAAACUGUUUUUCUUGAGUAGUGCAGAGGUAGGCGGAAUUCCCGGUGUAGCGGUGGAAUGCGUAGAUAUCGGGAGGAACACCAGUGGCGAAGGCGGCCUACUGGGCACCAACUGACGCUGAGGCUCGAAAGUGUGGGUAGCAAACAGGAUUAGAUACCCUGGUAGUCCACACCGUAAACGAUGAUUACUAGGUGUUGGAGGAUUGACCCCUUCAGUGCCGCAGUUAACACAAUAAGUAAUCCACCUGGGGAGUACGACCGCAAGGUUGAAACUCAAAGGAAUUGACGGGGGCCCGCACAAGCAGUGGAGUAUGUGGUUUAAUUCGACGCAACGCGAAGAACCUUACCAAGUCUUGACAUCCCUUGACAGGCAUAGAAAUAUGUUUUCUCUUCGGAGCAAGGAGACGGGUGGUGCAUGGUUGUCGUCAGCUCGUGUCGUGAGAUGUUGGGUUAAGUCCCGCAACGAGCGCAACCCUUAUGGUCAGUUACUACGCAAGAGGACUCUGGCCAGACUGCCGUUGACAGAACGGAGGAAGGUGGGGAUGACGUCAAAUCAUCAUGCCCUUUAUGACUUGGGCUACACACGUACUACAAUGGCGUUAAACAAAGAGAAGCAAGACCGCGAGGUGGAGCAAAACUCAGAAACAACGUCCCAGUUCGGACUGCAGGCUGCAACUCGCCUGCACGAAGUCGGAAUUGCUAGUAAUCGUGGAUCAGCAUGCCACGGUGAAUACGUUCCCGGGCCUUGUACACACCGCCCGUCA